UGCUUAACACAUGCAAGUCGAACGGGAUGCUUAGGCAUCUAGUGGCGGACGGGUGAGUAACGCGUGAGAAUCUGGCUCCAGGUCGGGGAUAACAGUUGGAAACGACUGCUAAUACCGGAUGUGCCGAGAGGUGAAAGAUUUAUUGCCUGGAGAUGAGCUCGCGUCUGAUUAGCUAGUUGGUGGUGUAAGGGACCACCAAGGCGUCGAUCAGUAGCUGGUCUGAGAGGAUGAUCAGCCACACUGGGACUGAGACACGGCCCAGACUCCUACGGGAGGCAGCAGUGGGGAAUUUUCCGCAAUGGGCGAAAGCCUGACGGAGCAAUACCGCGUGAGGGAGGAAGGCUCUUGGGUCGUAAACCUCUUUUCUCAAGGAAGAAGAAAGUGACGGUACUUGAGGAAUAAGCAUCGGCUAACUCCGUGCCAGCAGCCGCGGUAAUACGGAGGAUGCAAGCGUUAUCCGGAAUGAUUGGGCGUAAAGGGUCUGCAGGUGGAACUGAAAGUCUGCUGUUAAAGAGUUUGGCUUAACCAAAUAAAAGCGGUGGAAACUACAGAACUAGAGUGCGGUAGGGGCAAAAGGAAUUCCUGGUGUAGCGGUGAAAUGCGUAGAUAUCAGGAAGAACACCGGUGGCGAAAGCGUUUUGCUAGACCGUAACUGACACUGAGGGACGAAAGCUAGGGGAGCGAAUGGGAUUAGAUACCCCAGUAGUCCUAGCCGUAAACGAUGGAUACUAGGCGUGGCUUGUAUCGACCCGAGCCGUGCCGGAGCUAACGCGUUAAGUAUCCCGCCUGGGGAGUACGCACGCAAGUGUGAAACUCAAAGGAAUUGACGGGGGCCCGCACAAGCGGUGGAGUAUGUGGUUUAAUUCGAUGCAACGCGAAGAACCUUACCAAGACUUGACAUCCUGCGAAUCCCGGUGAAAGCUGGGAGUGCCUUAGGGAGCGCAGAGACAGGUGGUGCAUGGCUGUCGUCAGCUCGUGUCGUGAGAUGUUGGGUUAAGUCCCGCAACGAGCGCAACCCUCGUUUUUAGUUGCCAGCAUUAAGUUGGGCACUCUAGAGAGACUGCCGGUGACAAACCGGAGGAAGGUGAGGAUGACGUCAAGUCAGCAUGCCCCUUACGUCUUGGGCUACACACGUACUACAAUGCUACGGACAGAGGGCAGCAAGCCAGGGAUGGCAAGCGAAUCCAGAAACCGUAGCUCAGUUCAGAUCGAAGGCUGCAACUCGCCUUCGUGAAGGAGGAAUCGCUAGUAAUUGCAGGUCAGCAUACUGCAGUGAAUUCGUUCCCGGGCCUUGUACACACCGCCCGUCACACCAUGGAAGUUGGUCACGCCCGAAGUCAUUACCCCAACCGAAAGGAGGGGGAUGCCUAAGGUAGGACUGGUGACUGGGGUGAAGUCGUAACAAGGUAGCCGUACCGGAAGGUGUGGCUGGAUCACCUCCUUUUAGGGAGACCUACCCAUUGAAGAAUCGAAAGUCGAAG
rnacentral:rRNA from 1 species